rnacentral:rRNA from 1 species
AUAUGUUGUUAAAGGUUUACCGCCUUGGGAUAGGCUUGCGUCUGAUUAGCUAGUUGGUGUGGUAACGGCACACCAAGGCUACGAUCAGUAACUGGUCCUGAGAGGAUGAUCAGUCACACUGGAACUGGGACACGGUCCAGACUCCUACGGGAGGCAGCAGUGAGGAAUAUUGGGCAAUGCUCGAAAGAGUGACCCAGCAACGCCGCGUGGAGGAUGAAGGUAUUCUAUAUCGUAAACUCCUGUGAGAGCAGACGAAAGACAGAUUAUUAAUCUGGAUGACUGUAUGCUCAGAGGAAGCCCGGCUAACUACGUG